CUCUAGCGUGCAAAGUUGGGAGUCGCUGGUCUGGCUGGAGCGUGAAGCUGUAAUACAUUGAGGGUGAAGCAGGAGAUGCCGUCCUCGCUGGGGACUCUCGCCGCCUGCUCGGGAGGCUAGUGCCGAAGCAGACCAGCUGCAGGAUCCCUGGAUGCCGAACUCAACCAGGAAGAAGCCUGUGACAGAUGCUUUUGCAUUUUAUGCAAAUAGCAACUUCAUGGAUCAGUUUUCCUUCCCUCUGUGGAAUAUAAGCAUCUGGAAAAUAGAAUUCCAAAAGCCUUAGCACAUUAACAAUUGAACAGAAAUGACCAAACAACACAGUGUAUGUGGGAAGGACUCCUGCCCUGAUCAAUGUUAACAGGCCCAUAAUGAGAAAACUGAGCACGGAGAGGUAAC